ensembl:snRNA U6 U6 spliceosomal RNA
GUGCAGCCUUCGGCAGCACAUAUACUAAAAUUGAAUGAUACCAAAAAAAUUAGAAUGGCCCCUGGGCAAGGAUGACACACAAAUUUGUGAGGUGUUCCAUAUUUUA